rnacentral:piRNA from 1 species
AUUUGAGGGUAUGAAUGGUAAUGUCACCAA